GAGUGGUUAAGGCGAUGGACUGCUAAUCCAUUGUGCUCUGCACGCGUGGGUUCGAAUCCCAUCCUCGUCGUCAGUUCUCCCACUACGUCGGCGGGCUGAGGUUUUAGCUACUUAACGAGCGAUUCUGAGGUUUUAGCUCCUUCACGAGAGAUUCGUCAGCAGUUGGAAGUGUCGGUGUAAGAAAAACAAAAACUGGCGUAAUGAGAUGAGGAACCUGACGUAGAGACCAAACUGAUUGUUCUUUAAAAAAUCACAUAAUGAGCCUUUCAUGGAAACCAAGUUCUUUCAGAUCAUGUGGUUCUGGUGAUGGGAUCUUUCCAACAUGUUCAAUCCUGUGACCGACUCUGUGACUUUUGAUAGCUAGAAAAUCCUUCUGAAGUAUAUUGUUUAUGAGCCAGCGGAUCUGCCGGAGCCUCAUGAGGAUUGAGGCCUACAAAGCAUGAUUUUGAAUUUCAUUGAACAAUAUCUGGUUUAUACAGUAUAUGUAUUUUGGAGAUGGUUUACCAACUUCUAAAUAAAAAAGACCACGAGACCAUUAAAAAUUA